CCAAAUCUUCCUCUUCUUCCAUGGCUUCCUUUCCUCCCUUCCCUCUUCUAUAACAUCUGUCUCCGAAAAUGAGUUGUCACAUAACGGAAGCCUUAGCGAACCUCCCAACAAGGCGUCUUCUCCGCCACCUCAAGAUUACGAACUACCACUCCCAAUGGCAAGCAGCACGCACAACAACAGGCUCGAACCAAACACCACCAGCACUAGACCAAGUUAUAAAAUGGAGUCCUCCACCUCAAAACUACAUCAAGUGCAAUCUCAAUGCGGCAGGGAUCACGGACUGACCAUAGAACCAUAUUAGCUAUCCGCUCUUUAGGUUGGACAGUAAGGGUGGGAGAAGGGCAAUCACGCCUUCUUAAAAACCAGUAUUCUUAAGAGCAAAGAGUCGGGCGAAAAAAAAGGGACAGGGAAGAUCCUUUGACACCACAAGAAUCCUUAGUUAGAACGGGAUUCCAACUCAGCACCUUUUUGAGAUUUUGAGAAGAGCAACUCUUUGGAGAUUACAAUACAAUGAAAGUUGCGAGUUGUGUUGGGGGGAGUUAUUCUCUAAUUUGGUCUUGGAGUCUGUUUCCGGGAUAGCCUGGAGAGUUUGUAGCAGCAAAGACAACUUGAUUUUACGGCAUUCCAUCAGUUUUAGAAGCAUAAACGUGGACACUAUAUCAAGCAAUUCAGUCAUCCAUUCAAUUGCAACUCAACAAUGUGAUUUUUGAAAUAGACUCAAAGAUGAUAGCAGACAAUUUAAAUAAACAGAUUUCAUCUCAUGCUUAUUUAUCAGAAGCAUCUCUCAUAAGAAAAAAGUUGUGAUAGUUUAAAAUUGAUUCCAAACUCAAGUGUGAGUUUUGUAAGACGGCAAACUAAUCAUGUUGCUGACACUUUAGCCGGAGUUCACGAUUUCAUGCUGGCAGACAGUUCUUUGAUACCAUUCCCACUUGUAUUCAUGUUUUACUCAUGAAUGAAAUACCAUAACUUAAUGUUUCUUCAAAAA